rnacentral:rRNA from 1 species
GACGAACGCUGGCGGCGUGCCUAAUACAUGCAAGUAGAACGCUGAAGAGAGGAGCUUACUCUUCUUGGAUGAGUUGCGAACGGGUGAGUAACGCGUAGGUAACCUGCCUUGUAGCGGGGGAUAACUAUUGGAAACGAUAGCUAAUACCGCAUAACAAUGGAUGACACAUGUCAUUUAUUUGAAAGGGGCAAUUGCUCCACUACAAGAUGGACCUGCGUUGUAUUAGCUAGUAGGUGAGGUAAUGGCUCACCUAGGCGACGAUACAUAGCCGACCUGAGAGGGUGAUCGGCCACACUGGGACUGAGACACGGCCCAGACUCCUACGGGAGGCAGCAGUAGGGAAUCUUCAGCAAUGGGGGCAACCCUGACCGAGCAACGCCGCGUGAGUGAAGAAGGUUUUCGGAUCGUAAAGCUCGGUUGUAAGUCAAGAACGGGUGUGAGAGUGGAAAGUUCACACUGUGACGGUAGCUUACCAGAAAGGGACGGCUAACUACGUG